rnacentral:misc_RNA from 1 species
GAUGAAGAACGUAGCGAAAUGCGAUACGUAAUGUGAAUUGCAGAAUUCAGUGAAUCAUCGAAUCUUUGAACGCAUAUUGCGCUCUCUGGUAUUCCGGAGAGCAUGCUUGUUUGAGUAUCAGUAAACACCUCAACUCCCUUUUCUUUUUUGAAAUGGGAGCUGGACUUGAGUGAUCCCAACACUUUUCUCACUGGAAAGUGGCGGGUCACUUGAAAUGCAGGUGCAGCUGGACUUUUCUCUGAGCUAUAAGCAUAUCUAUUUAGUCUGCCUAAAAAACAGAUUAUUACCUUUGCUGCAGCUAACAUAAAGGAGAUGAGUUCUUGUGCUGACUGAUGCAGGAUUCACAGAGACAGCUUUGCGGCUGACUUUGUAAACUCGAUCUCAAAUCAAGUAAGACUACCCGCUGAACUUAAGCAUAUCCAAUAAGCGGAGGA